rnacentral:lncRNA from 1 species
UUUUUUGAUGUCAAUUAGUCAGGUGUAAUCUCAGCCAAAACUUGUGAAAUCUUCCCUCUAGGUGCAUUCUUUAAUUUCCGUGCCAAAAACUAUACACCCUAUAUUUAGGAACAGAGGGAGUAUCAUUUAACUAGUUUGUCCCAAAUUCAUAAAAAAUAGCACGCCAUUUAUAUAUCGUGCCAUGACACUGGGUAAGUUUCAUGAAUUUCAUACGAGCAUUGGG